GUCCCCGUAGCUCAAUAGGACAGAGCGACAGACUUCUAAUCUGUAGGUUGUGCGUUCGAUUCGCGCCGGGGACA
rfam:Parcubacteria bacterium 32_520 MPJ_scaffold_10875, whole genome shotgun sequence.